GCGGGUGUAAUAUAGUGGUAAUAUACGUGCUUGCCAAGUACGAUACGAGGGUUCGAUUCCCUUCACCCGCUCCA
rnacentral:tRNA from 1 species